rnacentral:misc_RNA from 1 species
UCUCCGUAGGUGAACCUGCGGAGGGAUCAUUACAGAGUUCAUGCCCUACCGGGUAGAUCUCCCACCCUAUGUUAUUAUUACUUUGUUGCUUUGGCGGGCCGUUAGGCUCCGGCCCGACUACCGGCCCCGGCUGGUAAGCGCCCGCCAGAGGACCCAAAACCCUGAAUAUUAGUGUCGUCUGAGUACUAUAUAAUAGUUAAAACUUUCAACAACGGAUCUCUUGGUUCUGGCACCGAUGAAGAACGCAGC